rnacentral:rRNA from 1 species
UACAGAGGUCUCAAGCGUUGUUCAGAUUCAUUGGGCGUAAAGGGUGCGUAGGCGGCGCGGUAAGUCGGGUGUGAAAUCUUGGAGCUUAACUCCGAAACUGCAUUCGAUACUGCCGUGCUUGAGGACUGGAGAGGAGACUGGAAUUUACGGUGUAGCGGUGAAAUGCGUAGAUAUCGUAAGGAAGACCAGUGGCGAAGGCGGGUCUCUGGACAGUUCCUGACGCUGAGGCACGAAGGCCAGGGGAGCAAACGGG